AAACUCAACAUGUCACAGUCAAUUGUUGUUGGCAAUACUGGCUGAUCCUGCUGACGGUGUGUCCAGCUUGUUCUCUUCUCUCAGUUUCUCUGGGUUUUCUUUGUGGUACAAACUGUUAUCACAGAAAAGGGCUCAAUGAGUCUAGAGGUUCUUUAAGCACUUCUGAGGUCCAAAGGCAGGAACAGACCCAGGAACAGGAUGAUAUUGAAGAGGUUUGCUAUACAUCACUGAAUAUGCCCAGACGAGGAAGCAAACCAAAGAGAAGCAAGCGAAUGCCAAGUGAUGACUUCAGUGUGUACAACGAUAUUAAAAUAUCCUAAUAAGUGAUAAAUGACACUGAUGUAUAAAAAUAAUAGCAUUCAUGGUGAUAUAAGACUGAUUAACUUGUUGAGGUGCAGUAAUGCAUUUACUUAUUACAUGGCUACUUUGUGCACAUGGCCAAAAUAUGUAUUUGAAUUUAAAUAUUUUAUGUGAGAAAAUGAGACUGCAAGUGAUAGACAUGUAUAGCUAUACUGUACUUUUUGAAUGAAACAAUAAUCUCUAAAAAUGUCUGGGUUAUUUUUGACCCAUAAUGGGUAAAGAACACACCCAAUGAUAAAAUGAACACAAUGCUGGGUUGUUUUUACCCAACUGCUUGGUUAUUAUACUCCAUGGUUGCAUAACAACAACAACAACCCAACAUUGGGUCUUUUUUAACACAGCAUGUGUUCUGUCCAAUAUUUAACCAUGGGUCAAAAAUAACCCAGCCAUUUUUUGAGUGUAGACAAUUUGCUGGUAUUUAUAUAAAAAUAUUUGUCUGCAAAAUGUUGUGAUUGACCAGGGUCUUAAUAAUAAUAGUAAUAAUAAUAUGUAUGUUGCUUGAUGUUUCUAUAAGUCACAUUCAUAUGUAGUUUACUGUGAUGAGAUAAGAAGUCAAAUAUGUAUAAAUAUUUUAUUUAUCCAAAUUAUUUCAAUUAUUCAGAUCUAUGGAAUUGAACAUACCAACAGCUUGUAGGUCGUAUCCUGUUUCAUGUGAACCAAAGUUGUUGGUGGAAACAAAGUGUUGUUUUUAAAUGGAGCGGAAACAAAGAUGCAGUAUGUGAGAUACCUUGAGGACUUUGAUUCUCACAAAAGUCCAUCUGCAUUAAAAACUAUAAAGUUAUUUUACUUCACACACAGUUAAGUAAACAAGUAAAUAUUUUUUCUAUAUUGCGAAUUUCUUUGUUAACUUACU